GACGAACGCUGGCGGCGUGCUUAACACAUGCAAGUCGAACGGCAAGGCCCUGCUUUCGUGGUGUGCUCGAGUGGCGAACGGGUGAGUAACACGUGAGUAACCUGCCCUUGACUUUGGGGUAACUUCAGGAAACUGGGCCUAAUACCGGAUAGGAGCUCACCCUGCAUGGUGGGGGUUGGAACGUUUCGGCUGUUGGGGAUGGACUCGCGGCUUAUCAGCUUGUUGGUGGGGUAGUGGCUUACCAAGGCUUUGACGGGUCGCCGGCCUGAGAGGGUGACCGGCCACAUUGGGACUGAGAGACGGCCCAGAGUCCUACGGGAGGCAGCGGUGGGGAGUAUGGCACAGUGGGCGGGAGCCGGAGGCAGCAGCGCCGCGGGCGGGAUGACGGCCUUCGGGGUGUGAACCGCUGUCGGCUGUGACGAAGCGGGAGUGACGGUAAUGAAUGAAGAAGCACCGGCUAACUACGUG
rnacentral:rRNA from 1 species